rnacentral:rRNA from 1 species
GACGAACGCUGGCGGCGUGCCUAAUACAUGCAAGUCGAACGCAGUGGGGACGGGUGAGUAACACGUGGGUAACCUCCCAUCAGAGGGGAUAACACUUGGAAACAGGUGCUAAACCGAUACUGAUGGACGGACCCGCGGAGCAUUAGCUUGUUGGUGAGGUAACGGCUCACCAAGGAAACGAUGCAUAGCCGACCUGAGAGUGUGAUCGACCACACUGGGACUGAGGGACGGCCCGGACUCCUACAGGAGGCAGCAUUAGGGAAUCUUCGGCAAUGGACGAAAGUCUGACCGAGCGACGCCGCGGGAGUGAAGAAGGUUUUCGGAUCGUAAAGCUCUGUUGUUAGAGAAGCGGUAUCUAACCAGAAAGCCACGGCUAACUACGUGCCAGCAGCCGCGGUAGUAC